UAUUUCAAUCACAUCCUCAGCAUGGUAGGCAACUGAUCUGAUUUCAGAUACCCAGUUGCGGAUUGUUGCGGCUUGCUCUUCCACUUGCAAGCUCGUUUCCCACUCCUUCAACUUGUUCCUGGACAUUUUUCAGACAACUUCUUCUUUGAGCAGAUCAAAAAGCCGCUCUGCAACAAAGGAAACUGCUGCUUCAGCCAUCUCUGGUUUUCUCUCGCUCCUUUUUUCUU
rnacentral:lncRNA from 1 species